rnacentral:tRNA from 1 species
GGGAAGUUGGCUCAGUGGUAGAGUGCUUGCCUCGCAUGCAUGAGCCCUGGGUUCGAUUCCUCAGUACCA